rnacentral:rRNA from 1 species
UACGAAGGGGGCUAGCGUUGUUCGGAAUUACUGGGCGUAAAGCGCACGUAGGCGGACAUUUUAAGUCAGGGGUGAAAUCCCGGGGCUCAACCCCGGAACUGCCUUUGAUACUGGGUGUCUUGAGUGUGGUAGAGGUGAGUGGAAUUGCGAGUGUAGAGGUGAAAUUCGUAGAUAUUCGCAGGAACACCAGUGGCGAAGGCGGCUUACUGGUCCAUAACUGACGCUGAGGUGCGAAAGCGUGGGGAGCAAACAGG